rnacentral:rRNA from 1 species
ACUCAAAUGAAUAGACGGGACCCCGCACAAGCGGUGGAGCAUGUGGAUUAAUUCGAUACUAACCGAAGAACCUUACCCAGACUUGACAUCGAUGGUAAGCCUUAGAAAUAGGGCCCUCUUCCCAAAAGGAAGACCUGAAGACACUUGUUGCAUGGCUGUCGUCAGCUCGUGCCGUGAGGUGUACGGUUAAGUCCGCCAACGAGCGCAACCCUCGUUCUAUGUUGCCAGCACUAAAGGUGGGAACUCAUAGGAGACUGCCCGUGUAAGCGGGAGGAAGGUGAGGAUGACGUCAAGUCAGCAUGGCAGUUACGUCUGGGGCUUCACACAUGCUACAAUGGGCGAAACAAAGGGCAGCGAUACCGCGAGGUGGAGCCAAUCCCAAAAAUACGCCCCCAGUUCAGAUUGCAGUCUGCAACUCGACUGCAUGAAGGCGGAAUCGCUAGUAAACGCAGGUCAGCUAUACUGCGUUGAAUACGUUCCCGGGGUUUGUACACACCGCCCGU